GUAGAGGAACACUUGCCUCAGAGGAACAGCAAAGGAGCUGUGGGGAUACGGAUGCUGCCUAAACCCAGCCUAGUCUAGACCAGCCCAGUCCAGCCCCAUGUGUCAGGGAAGAGGCUUUGAAGGACAAAGCAGGGUUCCUGGAUCAGCUGAGCCAAGGACACGGCAAGGGAGGCCAGGAUCAUGAGAACCAGCAGAGACAAUGACGUCAGAGCCAUGACAUCACUUCCUAAUAUCCAAUCAGAGAAGGGAUGCCCAGGACUUCAUCUCUUAGGGGACCAGAACUCUAAGCAGGGAGACACCUGCCCAGUUCUGGUCCACCUGCCAUGGGCUCCAGGCUCCUGUACUGUGUGGCCCUUUGUCUCCUGGGAGCAGGCACAGUGGAUUCCGGAGUCACCCAAACACCAAGACACCUGAUUAAAGCAAGAGGACAGCAAGUGACAAUGAGAUGUUCCCCUGUCUCUGGACACUACAGUGUAUCUUGGUACCAACAGGCCCUGAGCCAGGGCCCCCAGUUCCUCAUUCAGUAUUACGAGGGGAAAGAGAACGCAAAAGGAGUCAUCCCAGAUCGAUUCUCAGGGCAACAGUUCAGUUACUAUAGCUCUGAGCUGAACGUGAGCUCCUUGGACCUGAUGGACUCUGCCCUGUAUCUCGGUGCCAGCAGCGUGGCACAGCCCUGCAGAGUCACCAACGUUCUGUGCACAAAAAUCCCUGCCCCAGCAUGGAGCAACCUCAGAGCUGACAGAUCUGUGAGAACCUUGGGUCUGCAGAGGGAAAGAGAAAUGACUUAGGGCCCUGGAAAGUGCGGCCUCGGGCUCUUCUGCC